CUAACGCCGUCGCCACCGAACCUGCUCUGCAGUCCAGGGUGCGAGAGCACGGCAGGCACCCUGUUUCGCAGGCCAGUUGAUGAACUUCGAAUUUCAUCGUGAGCAUGCAGACUUUAGGGAAGUAGCUCGCCUUUACACCAGUGCAAGAACCAAGUGCCCGCCAUGCAGAAGGACGGAAUAAUUUCAGCGUUUGUAUGCAUCUUCGUAAUUGGACCAUUGCGAUCAGACGGUUGGCCUUCCCCGAAAGUCAUACCUAACAUGGCUAAGUUUCUCAAUACAAGUGAUCCAAUAUGGUCGUACAUGACAACAUCCACGACAAGGGGUUAUGACUGCAAAGUGGAUGUCAUUGACAAUAUGUACAACGAAGACGUGCUUUUUCGGAGAUUUCUUGGUUACCGAAAGGCUAUAAUCAGAACGUGGUGCUCCUCUAGACAAAGAGACAUUAGUAUACCAGAGCAGGGACUAUAUGUGUGGUAUAGUUAAAGUUGAUGACGUGGUAAAUGAUGGACAAGAUAUCACGUAUGAACUGCGAGUGAAAAAUUCUACAAUAGUAACAGCCAAUCGUACCGACUGCUUCAAAGCGUAC
rnacentral:misc_RNA from 1 species